rnacentral:rRNA from 1 species
CCCAUCAGCUAGUUGGUAGGGUAAUGGCCUACCAAGGCAAAGACGGGUAGGGGGCGUGAGAGCGUGGCCCCCCACACUGGUACUGACACACGGACCAGAUACCUACGGGUAGCAGCAGCAAGGAAUAUUGCACAAUGGGCGAAAGCCUGAUGCAGCAACGCCGCGUGGAGGAUGAAGGCCUUCGGGUUGUAAACUCCUUUUCUGGGGGAAGAGAACGGACGGUACCCCAGGAAUAAGGCCCGGCUAACUACGUGCCAGCAGCCGCGGUAAAACGUAGGGGUCGAGCGUUAUCCGGAUUUACUGGGCGUAAAGCGCAUGUAGGCGGUCGCUUAAGUCGGACGUGAAAGCUCCCGGCUCAACUGGGAGAGGCCGUUCGAAACUAGGCGACUCGAGGAUGGUAGAGGAGAGUGGAAUUCCCGGUGUAGUGGUGAAAUGCGUAGAUAUCGGGAGGAACACCAGUGGCGAAGGCGGCUCUCUGGGCCAUUCCUGACGCUGAGAUGCGAAAGCUAGGGGAGAGAACGGGAUUAGAAACCCCGGUAUUCCUAGCCGUAAACGAUGUCAACUAGGUGUAGGUGGUUAUUAACCCCAUCUGUGCUGUAG